UUCAUUUAUUAGGCAUUUAAAACAGAAUAUGUUAUUAGAUGGAAUUUUUAUGUAAGUUCCUAUCGAAACAAAAAUGAUUUCUCUUUUAAUUAAUUGAAGAAAUAAAAUCAGCAGUCCUCAGAGUUUAUCAUAAAUCUUUACGAAAACCUUAAAUUCUGCAGGGUUAAUUAAAGCUGGGUAUCUUGAGUGGGGAGAGCGGUUUCGCAUUGCAACAAAUUGGUACAGAAUGGUUUUAAAAUAUGAGAGCCUGCAGGACUUUACCAGCUGUGUUAAUGAAGUGAAGUUAGUAGGUGCCACCACAAUUUUAUAGUUCUUCCUAAUUUGUGACCAGAUUGGCAAGUCGCGUUAGCGUGAGCUGACUGCUGAUCGCCUUAGGCUUGCUGUGAUCUCAUUUAGGAAGGAGAAAGGAAAAAAAAAAUAUCAUAAAAAUUAAAGACAGAUGACAAUUUGCAUGCUAAAUUUUUUUUGAAAAGUUACAGAGAAUGAGGAAACUUUAAAAAAAAAUUUACCUGUGACCCUAUGUUGUUUUUUUUUUAAUUGAGAAAUAACUCGCAUACCAUAAAAACCACCUUUUGUAGUAUACAAUUCAGUAGAUUUUAGUGUAGUCACAAGGUCGUGCAGCCAUCACCUAGGUCCAGAGCGUUUUCAUCCCCAACCCCGACGAGGAGCCCCAGGCCCAGUUCCCCAUCCCCCCACCCCCACGUCUGGCAAUUGCUAAUCUUUCUACUCCGACCCCAUUUUUUAAAAUAUUGGAAUAUUAUAGUACUUUUGUAGAAGCUCUCCAUGCGAGUGGCUUUUAGUAAAUUAAGUCUACGUGAAAUAGCCAGGGCUUUUAAAAAGACCAAAAGAUCAGUGAUUCCAUGAGAUAGAUACUUAUCAGAUCAAGAUCUCUAAAUGAGGAUUCUUUGAACUUGAAUAUUUCCGAUCCUCAGUCUCACCUCCAGGUUUUCUAAAAAGUAAUCCUCAUUGCACUUAAGUAAGAUGACAAAAUACUACUUUCUCCAUUCAGAGGGUGAAUUAAAUGAGGUUAGAUGACAUAGCUAACUUCAUGCUUGAAGGCAGAAGGAGCAGUAAAAGAAGUGUCCUGUAGUUUCUACUUACUGUUGUGUAUAUAUAUGUACAUUUAAUGUAGUAUAUUUAUAAUUGUGUAUAUACUUAAUGCAUUAUAUACAUUUGCAGUGUGUAUAUUUAAUGUAAUAUAGCUUUAAUGUCAAGUAUGUGUAUACAUACAUACAUACAUGCAUGCAUGCAUGCAUCUGUAUAUCUUAUAGAUAUAUGACAUGUAUAAUUUCAACCACUGCGUGUGGUUCCUAUACCACUAGAGUUUGGGCCUCAAAAGAACUCGUAACUACCAGGAUUAAGAACACUUUUUUCCCCUUAACUUUUUUUUUUCUUAUCAUGGAACAUUCCAGCAUCCCGCACAGAAGAGAAUAGACUUACUGGAUUUCCAUGAACCUGCGGCACACUUCAAAUUUCCCAUCUUCAGAUCGGCUCCUGAAUCCACAUACCACAGUAAUACAGCUUCUCUCUUUGCGUCUCUGACAAGAUGUUUCAGGUCUGUUUCCUGCUCCACAUCUGCAGUUGGCCAUUUCUCUAAAGCUCCCUGGUCCCUUUGGUGCGGAGCCGUGCAGGGUGCUAGGGAAGCUUGAUGUUCCCAGUGAAGUCACUGGUUCUGUGUCUCUAAGAAUGUGUGUGUGUGUGUGUGUGUGUGUGUAUUAAUGAGAAAAGAUGAGAUGACUUCAUAAUACAGUUUCCAGUUUAGGAUCGCAGAUAGUUUUCUUUGAUUGUGUACUUGCAUCUCCUUCUCAUGCUCAGUCUUAGUUCCUGCCCUCAUCAACGUAACUGCUCACCUACAUCGAUGUUGCUGGUGCUGUCAUCACAGCACAGCUACCACAUGUGAUUUAAUGCUUCUGUCAUUCUGCGUCCUGGGAGCACGUGCCACUAGGAGGGCACUGUCCUGUCACUGUGCUUUCAGGUCACGUAAGGUAGUUCUUCUCCUUGCGGAUCAAGUUCCUAACAACUGGAACAACAGAUCACUUGUUUCAUCGUGCUUUAUAUUUUUAAGGUUUAAAAAAAAAAAAAAAACACCUAAUUUUGCUUCAAUACUAAGUAAAAUGUGUGUAUCAUUCCGAUGUUAAAAAACUGAAAAAAAAAAAAAAAAAAAAGAAAAACGUUAAAGAUAACAUGUAGUCAGAUCUAGCUUCUCUCCGUCUUUCGCCCU